rnacentral:rRNA from 1 species
AGCGAACGCUGGCGGCGUGCCUAACACAUGCAAGUCGAACGUGAAAAGGGAAACCUGAGUACAGUGGCGUACGGGUGAGUAACGCGUAGGUAAUCUACCCCAGAAUCUGGAAUAACCUGCCGAAAGGCGGGCUAAUACUGGAUAGAGCGAGGGAACUCGUAAGAGAGUUUUUCGGGAAAGGGAGCCCGCAAGGGCCUUCGUUCUGGGAUGAGCCUGCGUCUCAUUAGCUAGUUGGUAAGGUAACGGCUUACCAAGGCGAUGAUGAGUAGCUGGUCUGAGAGGAUGAUCAGCCACACUGGAACUGAAACACGGUCCAGACUCCUACGGGAGGCAGCAGUGGGGAAUCUUGCGCAAUGGACGAAAGUCUGACGCAGCCACGCCGCGUGAGUGAAGAAGGCCUUCGGGUUGUAAAGCUCUGUCGGAUGGGACGAACAUCUUCAUAGUGAAUAGCUAUGAGGACUGACGGUACCAUCAAAGGAAGCACCGACUAACUCCGUG